ensembl:misc_RNA Metazoa_SRP Metazoan signal recognition particle RNA
GCCGGGUGCAAUGGUGUGUGCCUGUAGUCCCAGCUACUCGGGAGGCUGAGGUGGGAGGAAUGCUUGAGCCCAGGAAUUCUGGGCUGUAGUGCUUGAUAUGCCAGUCGGGUGUCUGCACUAAGUUUGGCAUCAGUAUGGUGAUCUCCUGGGAGCGGGGGACCACCAGGUUGCCUAAGGAGGGGUGAACUGGCUCAGGUCAGAAACGGAGCAGAUCAAAACUCCUGUGCUGAUCAGUAGUGGGAUCGUGCCUGUGAAUAGCCACUGCACUCCAGCCUGGGCAACAUAACGAGACCCCAUCUCUU